UGUGUAUCGAAACGAAUUCCC
rnacentral:piRNA from 1 species